GCGCUCAUGGUGAAAGGGAUAUCACAAGAUCCUCCGGAGAUCUGGUUAGAGGUUCGAGUCCUCUUGAGCGCGCCA
rnacentral:tRNA from 1 species